AUGACAGCGAGUUCACAGUCUCAGGCAGGAUUGAGCUUUCAACUGCUCUGCAGAUUCUCAUCAGAGGUGCAGACUCUUCUUUGUGGCUCAUACCUACAUUUUAUUCUUCCUGAAAAUAUAGUUUGUAUUCGGGGGACACAGGCAUCUUCUAUUCACUUCAUCAUCAACACUUGUCAAACAAAAAACCCCCUACUACUCAUGCUACAGACUCAUGCAGCUCCCUGCAUUUUGAAAGAAUUGCCUCCCUCUUCUGAGCCUGGCUCAAGGUAAGACCCACUCCUAUGUCUUCCUGUAGAGCCCAAACUUGCACUGAUUGUGUUCUAAUUUCCUGUGUAUUGCUUGCUCUUCCGCUAGACUGGAGGAUAAAGGAAAUGUGUUUCAUUAGUAUUUACUCCCACUUCCCAAACAUGUCACAAUAAGCACACAGUAGAUACGUUCUAAAUGUUUGAAGGUCUGUUGUCAAAUAUUCCUUAUAAUCGUGGUGCUGGAGUAAAAGUCAUGUAAUGUUGAACACAUUCCGAUUCUGAAAGCAGACAGGCAGGGUAAACUGGCCAGUACACUAAUGGCAAGUGUGAGUUGGGGUGAUUUUGUGUCCAUGUCAUAGCUGCCUAGAUUAGGUGACUUGAUGACAUUGACAGUUCUUACAGACCCAGAUAAAUCUACCUUUUAAUGUCAAGGUAAUGCUAUUUAUUUUAUCUAGAUCUUCCCUCCAUCUGGGUCACUUGUCGUAGUUUAACUUUCUACAAUGCAUUGGGCCCCAGGUAGACAAGGGAGCAUCCUGCUUGCUUUCAGGCAGGAGCCAUGUAUUCACCAUUCAGUCAAAAAUUUACAACAGUAAAGAGUAAGUAUGCCAAAAAGAACUUGUAUCUGCCAUUCCCUCCACCUCUUGUCGUGUAGACAUCUCACUUGCUGUAGACACUUCUCAGAAUUUAAUGUCUUUGAAGGAAGGGGAUCUAUUCACCCCACAAUGUGGUUUUGGCCCAAAUCUUCUAAGCCAGUUAUCUGUCUUGAAUAUAAAUAAUUAUCUUUUCCACUGCUGGUAAAAAAACUAACUGUAUUAGACCUUGAGAUAUCUAAAAUAGAGACAUUCUAAGUGAUUUUCUAGAGUAAUUCUGACAGCAGGUGAUUUUCUCUGUGCAAUCUGAUUUUACAUGCAAACUUCAAUUUCACUGAAAUGGUCUUGAGAAUGCCAGAGGAUACACAGAAAAGAUCAUAGCAAAAGGCUCUGGUGGCCAGAGGCAGCUUGGGGCAUAUGUUGACCAAGGGCAGCCCUAGUCAUAGAAUGGCCAAGUCAUUGCAUUGGGGACCAAAGAAAAACAAAUUUAUUCUACUUUAUUGGCCUGAUGUUUGGUCAUUGUCCAAGAACUGUGAGUCGUUUGGUGAGUGCCCUUUUUUUCCCUCUGUUUUUUUCGUUUGUUUGUUUUUUUGUUUUUUGUUUUUUAAAUCAAUUUGAGAAGGCUCUUCCUUCUGCUCAGAAAGCUUAUGGCUCUCUUCUCUUCUUCCUCUUGAUGCAGAAGUACUAUGUCGUAGUACUUUCCCUGAAGUACAAUAUCAAAAUGAGGUAUCACUUUAAUGUGUUCCCAUAAGACCUUGGUUUUCCCUCUAUAGUAUCUACUGCACUCACCUAUAGUUAUUGGUUUUUAUGAAGUAAUAGGUUGUACAUUGUGUAUGGACAGGACUGUAUCAUUUUGCUUAUUUAAACCAAGUGCCUGGUUCAUAUAUAUAUUAAACACUCAAUAAAUGAUUGCUAAUAAGAAAAUGAAUGAAUGCAUGGCUAAAUCCUGGAGCUCACCCACCCUUACUCCAGCCCUAAGAGGAAAGUUUGAGGAAUUUUGUCAUGCCUAGUAAACCAUGGUAAGAGGAGCCAAAGAUGGUUUUUUGCUCAGUUUGUACCAUUGAUUAAACAAGAUUAUUUUGUUUUAAAUAGGUGUUGGUAUCACAAAAUAGCAGACCUUAGCAAGACUGAAGCCUAAGGAGGAUAAGUCAAAUUAUCCAAGUUUGCCCUCUGAAUCUGAUUGUGAAUAUGCAUGUCAAACACAAUAUUCAUCUGCUUUAGUGAUUUUUCUCUUUAAUAUUCUGAUAUUUUAUCAUCAACUUCCUUUAAUAUAGGAAGCAUCUUGGUGGUUUCUGGCUUUGGAGUCAUCCAAUCUUAGAUUUAAAUCCUGAACUCCACCAUUUAAGAGCUAUGUGAUCUCGGCUUCCUUCAACUAAAAGCUGUGAUAAUGACUUUCAUGUGAUAGCUUUGUUGUGAGAAGCAAAUGUGCUCAUGUAUGUUAAAAUAUCAAGCAUAGUAUCCAGCACAAAACAGGCACUAUGUACAUGUUAAUUCCAUCCCCUUUCAUGUGUAUCCAGAGAACUAAUGUUACCAUUUCAUGUAUUGCAGCUCAACUUAUCACCUUUUUCAGAAAACACUGGAGGCCUUUGCCGGAUGCAAGCAGCUAUCUCGUUUGGUUAUAUGUUAAUUCUAUAUUUAGUCUGCCCAUACACAGAGAGGAGCUAAAAAUCUUAUCCUUCCAAUUAUUCAUAUUGCUCUUCAAUAUCUUCUUAAAUUCCCUCACUGGUAGCUGAGCUACUUUAUACAGACACAUCCGGUUUUAAAGAUUCCUCUUUCUUGGCAUGACUCAUCCCUCCUGCGGCCAGUUUUAUUCCUCCUGUUAUUUCCCUAGGAUCCAUUCAUUGUUUUCCGGGAGCAUUUCUUAAAUGCGUCUCCUUGAACACUUUGUAUUAUUCCUGAUUUUUUCCAACUAUAGAAAUAGUAAUUAUUUUGCUCUAGUUAUUUCUUGGCUUCCUGGCCUUUUUUUCUAAUGUACCUGUGUUUUCACACAUAAUUUUAAUGAAAUGCCCAACUCGAUUACUAAAAGGCACUGGAGUAUUACAAGGGUUUGACCAUUCUUUCCAGAAGUUCUCUCUGGUUUCAUGUCCUCCUGUGAUUUACCAAGUGUCACUUAAUUUUUCUUUUUCUUUUUUUACACACCAUGGCCAACUUUUCAUCACAGUCAUUAUCCACCUCUCUUGGUGAUCUACUUAACAUUUCAUUAAAAAAUAUGUUCAGCUCAGCUCCUUUCUUCCUACCCUUCACAUGUCAACAAGACCUGCUUUCCCCCUUUCACUUGUGAUUCUUCUGGUGCUCAGAAUUUGUCAAUCAUUAGUUCUCUUCUUGGUGCAGUCUCUCUACACAUCCUCCCUCAGCAGCGUCUGUAUUUCAGUCUAGGCUUCAUUCCCAUCAGCUGCCAUUCUUUUUCCCACCUGUUUUCUGUCCUUCUUUUUACCAUUAGAUGUUAGGACAUUGCACCGAUUUUAGUCAAUGAAUACUUUGAUGAUAGUGUCUCAAUAAGCCUUUUAAAAGAAAAGCAGAAAUGGGAAAAGACAAGGAUAAAUGUCCUAUUUUAUGAAUCUCAUUCUUUUUAAAGUUAAAAUCUGCAGAAUGAUUAGAAACCUAAUAACUUUGCUUCCACAUAUUUUGGAGGUUGUUAGAUGUGGAUGGAGAGAAAGUCUGCCAAGGAAGGGGGUGCUGAUGAGGGGGAGGAGGGGAUAGGG
rnacentral:lncRNA from 1 species